rnacentral:rRNA from 1 species
CGUUCCCGGGUCUCGUACACACCGCCCGUCACACCAUGGGAGUGGAAUCCGCCAGAAGUGGCUAGGGUAACCUUCGGGAGCCGGUUACCACGGUAGGUUUCAUGACUGGGGUG